CAACUUUCAGCAAUGGAUCUCUUGGCUCUCGCAUCGAUGA
rnacentral:rRNA from 1 species